CCUACGGGAGGCAGCAGUGGGGAAUUUUGGACAAUGGGGGAAACCCUGAUCCAGCCAUUCCGCGUGUGCGAUGAAGGCCUUCGGGUUGUAAAGCACUUUUGGCAGGAAAGAAAUCGCACAGAUUAAUACUUUGUGUGGAUGACGGUACCUGCAGAAUAAGCACCGGCUAACUACGUGCCAGCAGCCGCGGUAAUACGUAGGGUGCAAGCGUUAAUCGGAAUUACUGGGCGUAAAGCGUGCGCAGGCGGUUCGGAAAGAGAGGUGUGAAAUCCCAGGGCUUAACCUUGGAACUGCACUUUUAACUCCCGAGCUAGAGUAUGUCAGGAGGGGGUGGAAUUCCGCGUGUAGCAGUGAAAUGCGUAGAUAUGCGGAGGAACACCGAUGGCGAAGGCAGCCCCCUGGGAUAAUACUGACGCUCAUGCACGAAAGCGUGGGGAGCAAACAGGAUUAGAUACCCUGGUAGUCCACGCCCUAAACGAUGUCAACUAGCUGUUGGGGGCUUCGGCCCUUAGUAGCGCAGCUAACGCGUGAAGUUGACCGCCUGGGGAGUACGGCCGCAAGAUUAAAACNCAAAGGAAUUGACGG
rnacentral:rRNA from 1 species